rnacentral:rRNA from 1 species
UACGUAGGGUGCGAGCGUUGUCCGGAAUUAUUGGGCGUAAAGGGCUCGUAGGCGGUUUGUCGCGUCGGGAGUGAAAAUCCAGGGCUUAACUCUGGACUGGCUUCCGAUACGGGCAGACUAGAGGUAUGCAGGGGAGAACGGAAUUCCUGGUGUAGCGGUGAAAUGCGCAGAUAUCAGGAGGAACACCGGUGGCGAAGGCGGUUCUCUGGGCAUUACCUGACGCUGAGGAGCGAAAGUGUGGGAAGCGAACAGG